rnacentral:hammerhead_ribozyme from 1 species
AUCCAGCUGACGAGUCCCGAAUAGGAGGGAACUCGCUUCCUGGAU